CUACAGGGGUAUCUAAUCCUGUUUGCUACCCACGCUUUCGCGUCUCAGCGUCAGUAUCUGCCCAGAGAGCCGCCUUCGCCACUGGUGUUCCUCCCGAUAUCUACGAAUUUCACCUCUACACCGGGAAUUCCGCUCUCCUCUUCAGUACUCAAGCUCCGUAGUAUCCUGUGCACUUCCGGGGUUGAGCCCCGGGCUUUCACACACGACUUGCGAAACCGCCUACUCGCGCUUUACGCCCAGUAAUUCCGAGCAACGUUUGCACCCUCUGUCUUACCGCGGCUGCUGGCAC
rnacentral:rRNA from 1 species